GGAGGCGGCGGCGGCGGCGGCUGCGGGCUCGCAGUGCCGCUAGCUCGCGAGGAGGCGCGGCCGGAGCCGCCGGGCCGGUGUCACCAAGAGUGGAGAAGGCGCAGGGACCCCCGGAGCGCGCGCGCACGAGAUAACGCAGCGGCCGCCCAAGCUGUCACCUCCAGCCUCUCUCCGAGCUCUCGGUCGCCUCUGCCAGAAGCCAGAGCUGGACUCGCUGACGAGCCGCAGAGAGAGAGACACACACACACACUGAGACGAGAUGAUUAUUAGUUGCGUUGAGUCAUCAGGCAAAAUAGGAAAUUGGUGGGUUUCCCUUCGUUGGAAUGGAUUUAAGCUGUGAGACCCAAAGUCCGCUGAAGGUUGCCAGGUUCUUGGCUCCAGCUAAGGAGUUGUUUUUUCAUUUGUCAUCGAGAACUCUGGAACUGGAGUCUAAAAUUUAGGAAUGCUCUGACUUCAACUUCAGUGACUCAGUCCUUCACGCUCCCCCAUUCCUGGCCAACACUCACGUUCCUGCCAUCCACCCGAGAUUCCAGAGCCCCAAAGCCACAAAUCUGCCACCACCAGGUCACUGUGCCAUCUGUCGCAGCCCGCGUGCAAGGAUCCCGGGAAAGCCUCCAGCGACGCCUCGAACUUCUGCCUCUCCCCUCUUGAAACUUGGCCCACGGUUUCAGCCACCCUGGUUCUUAGGCUAGGCUCCGCGUAGGCCCGUAGGCUGUUGGGGCUGGGUAGGGUAUCAGGUGAGGCACCCUUUGUGCUGGAUCCAGAACCCUCUUGGCCAGCGCAGGAGCCGGGCGAAGACGCCCUGCACCAAUCAAACUUUCACCCCUUUGUUCCUAUCUCUCUUUAUCAUGCGCAUAUCUUUAUAAGGUGUGGCUGUUAACAGUCCACCAGUUGACUCCGGAGUGGGGAAAAAAAUGCCCCCAGGAUUGGAUUAGGAUUUUCUUAUUUGACUUCCCCCGCGACUCCCUUCCAAAUCCUUCGCCCUGUUCGCUCAGACUAUCCCUGGACCUCGGAGCGGGAGGGGUCAUGGCACGCUUCGACACCAAGAAUCCAGCUCUCG